rnacentral:misc_RNA from 1 species
GAUGAAGAACGUAGCGAAAUGCGAUAAGUAAUGUGAAUUGCAGAAUCCAGUGAAUCAUCGAAUCUUUGAACGCACAUUGCGCCCGCCAGCAUUCUGGCGGGCAUGCCUGUUCGAGCGUCAUUUCAGCCCUCGACCUCCCUUUGGGGAAGUCGGCGUUGGGGACCGGCAGCACACCGCCGGCCCUGAAAUGGAGUGGCGGCCCGUCCGCGGCGACCUCUGCGUAGUAAACCAACUCGCACCGGAACCCCGACGUGGCCACGCCGUAAAACACCCAACUUCUGAACGUUGACCUCGAAUCAGGUAGGACUACCCGCUGAACUUAAGCAUAUCAAUAAGCGGAGGA